rnacentral:rRNA from 1 species
GCUUAACACAUGCAAGUCGAGCGAGAAUCGUUUUGCUGAAGGCUUCGGUCUGACGCAGAAUGAGGAAAGCGGCGAACGGGUGAGUAACGCGUGGGCAACCUGGCCUUAAGAAAAGGAUAGCCCCCGGAAACGGGGAGUAAUACUUUAUGAGAAUGAAAGAGGGCAUCCUACUUUCAUUCAAAGCGCAAGCGCUUAAGGAUGGGCCCGCGUAUCAUUAGCUAGUUGGUGAGAUAACAGCCCACCAAGGCAACGAUGAUUAGCCGGUCUGAGAGGGCGAACGGCCACAUUGGAACUGAGAGACGGUCCAAACUCCUACGGGAGGCAGCAGUGGGGAAUAUUGCGCAAUGGAGAAGAACUCUGUCGCAGCAAUACCGCGUGAGCGAAGAAGGUCUUCGGAUCGUAAAGCUCUGUUAUCAGGGAAGAAGAAAAUGACGGUACCUGAUGAGCAAGUCCCGGCUAACUACGUGCCAGCAGCCGCGGUAACAC